UAUGCCUACGGGACGCAGCAGUGGGGAAUAUUGCACAAUGGGCGCAAGCCUGAUGCAGCGACGCCGCGUGCGGGAUGGAGGCCUUCGGGUUGUAAACCGCUUUUGUUCAAGGGCAAGGCACGGUCUUUGGCCGUGUUGAGUGGAUUGUUCGAAUAAGCACCGGCUAACUACGUGCCAGCAGCCGCGGUAAUACGUAGGGUGCAAGCGUUAUCCGGAUUUAUUGGGCGUAAAGGGCUCGUAGGCGGUUCGGCGCGUCCGGGGUGAAAGUCCAUCGCUUAACGGGGGGUCCGCGCCGGGUACGGGAG
rnacentral:rRNA from 1 species